GAUGAACGCUGGCGGCGUGCCUAAUACAUGCAAGUCGAGCGGACGGACGAGAAUCUUGCUUCUCUGAUGUUAGCGGCGGACGGGUGAGUAACACGUGUAUAACCUACCUAUAAGACUGGUAUAACUUCGGGAAACCGGAUCUAAUACCGGAUGAUAUUUUGAACCGCAUGGUUCAAAAGUGAAAGACGGUCUUGCUGUCACUUCUAGCUGGAUCCGCGCUGCAUUAGCUAGUUGGUACGGUAACGGCUUACCAAGGCAACGAUGCGUAGCCGACGUGAGAGGCGGAUCGGCGACAUGGGAACGGAGCCAGGGACAAGAGUACUAAGGGAGGCAGCAGUAGGGAAUCUGACGCAAUGGGCGAAAGCCUGACGGAGCAACGCCGCGUGAGUGAUGAAGGUCUUGGGAUCGUAAAACUCUGUUAUUAGGGAAGAACAGAUGUGUAAGUAACUGUGCACAUAUUGACGGUAACUAAUCAGAAAGCAACGGCUAACUACGUG
rnacentral:rRNA from 1 species